rnacentral:lncRNA from 1 species
UCUACCCGCUGACAUAUGCACAGCAGAGUCUGGAGCUGGCUCUUUGUCCUCCCCGGAGUCCCAUGGGGCUCUGCUUGUUGGCUUCCUCUGUGAGCUUGAGGACUUUCUUGUGGAAUAACCAUUGGUUUUCCUCAUUUUUGACAAGAAUCUAGUGCUUUUCCCUUCGCUCCAUCUUUUCCCCUCAGGCAGGGACAUUCAUAAGCCCUGGAGACAAUGUGUUAUAUUGUUGUUUGUUCUCCAGUUCCUGGCAAGGGUGGGGUCUUCAGGGAGAAGAGCAUUAGUGGGUGACUUGGAGUCAGGAGAGCCUGUGCCACUGCUGACCUGAGGCGUGUCUUUGCCCGUCCCCAUCCAGGUUCCCCGAGAGCAAAAUGUUGGGGCCCAGCCCCGUGACAGAGGCCGACCCCUGCCCCACAGCUAUGUAAUUUUUUUUAGAGUGUAGUUGUUUCUGGAAUACUUGGGUUGAAUUCCUGUAGGGCCAACAGGAAGAAGGCUGUGGCGUAGCCAUGGUCAGGAAACUGAGCUCUGACCAGAGGCCACUGGUCACAUGUGGGAUGUCUGCCAGAAAAGAAUGAAGAGUGUCAGGAAGUAGGGAUUGGAGGACUUUCCCUGACGCUGCUUCAUUAUUUCAAGGGGAGGGAGUUGAUGGUGAUUAUGGAGGUUCUAAAGCCCUCCCUAACUCCCUCAACUCCAUGGGUGCGUCCACUUGGGUUCUGGGGAUGGGACUGCCGCUUGUGGGAGACCAUGAGUCAUGGGACCUGGGAGAGGUGUGGCAAGCAGUUGUGGGCACCUCUGAAACAUCCCUUCUUCCUAGACAUGGCUGCUGUCCAAGGGACGGGGACUCCAAGGAGCAACCGUGGGAAGGCAAGGAGGCCAGGAUUGCCAGCUGGAAGAUUUCUAGAGGAGAUGCCUCAUCUUCAGAGGUCUAAGGAGGAUCAGGCAUGGGCCAGCUUCUCCCUAGGAAGCUACUCCCAUCCAUUAUGCUGCCUGAGCACCAAAGUGCUACUUACCCAGAAUCGAGACAUGAUUUAAAACCCGCACCGUCUGUUUUGGGCAGAUACAAAUGAAUGACAAAUGAAUCUGUCAUUUGGGCAGGGCUUGAUGGGGUCAGGGCUCUACGUGGCACGGGUGGAGCUGGCCUGAAGACUGGGGGCUGGCAUCCCCUGGGGCUGCUUUACCUGUCCAGCAGUGGAGGCUGGUCGUCGGCUGAACCCCUACACGUGAGCUCUGCCCGCUGCUGCCUGGCUUCCUCCCAGCACCGCGGCGCAGCCCUUCAUCGGCCAUGAGACGUGCAAAUUAAAACCACAGUGAGAUAGCGCUACGCCCCUCCUAGGACGUCUAAACAAAAAAGACUGACCGUACCCAGUGUUGUCAAGGAUGCUCUCCUCUGUUUUGGAAACGGGCUGGGCAGUUUCUCCAGAAGUGAAACGUCCGCUUGCCAUAUGACCCAGCCAUGCAGCUCCGAGGUAAGCAUCCCAGAGAAAGGAAGACAACGCGUGUUCAUAGCAGCUUUAUCUGCCCUAGCCAGAAAUGUCCAUCAACAGGUGAACAGAUAAGUAAUUUAUGGUACACAGUGAAACACAAUUCAGCAAUAAAAAUUAACUGUUGAUACAUGCAACAAUGUGGGCAGCUCUCCAAGCUCUCAGGCUGAGUGAAAGAAGCCAGACAAAAAAAGGUGCACCUACAGGGCACCUGGGUGGCUCAGUCGGUUAAGCAUCCGCCUUCGGCUCAGAUUGUGAUCCCAGAGUCCUGGGAUUGAGCCCCAUGUCAGGCUGUCUGCUCAGUGGGGAGUCUGCUUCUCCCUCUCCCUCUGCUCCUCCCCCUACUUGUGCUUUCUCUCUCUCUCUCUCAAAUAAAUAGGUAAAAUCUUGUUUUUUUUUUUUUCAAGUGCAUGUAGAGUAUAAAAGCCUAGAAAAUGCAAACUUAACCUGUGAUGACAGAAAGCACAUCAAAGGUUGCCUGGAGAUGCUAGGCAUGGGGUGGAGGGAGGGAUGACAGAGGAACACGAGCAAACUUGUAGCUUGAUGGAUACAAUAUCUUGAUAGUGGUGCUGGUUUUACAGGCGUAUACAUGUCAAAAUUUGCCAAGUUGUACACUUUAGAUGGGUGGUGUUUACUGGGUGUCAAUCACAUCUCAACUUACAAAAUGAAUACUAAGGUGGAAAAAGGAAGGGUGCUUGGGGUGAGAAGAAUCAUGGCGGUCAUCUUGGGAAACACAACCUACCUCAUUCACCAGGUGUUUCCAACGUGUCAGGCACUGUGUGUGCUAAGUGCUUAACAACACUGGUACUAAGUCCACCCAACAACCCAACCCGAAGGGAAGAUGAGGAGGUGGCCAACUAUUUAUUGUUAUUAUUAUCUUGAUGUUAUCAGAGAGCCAUGGGGUCUUGGUCUCUGGGAGAGGAGCGUGUCUCAGGGCUCUGAUGAGCAGGACAUCAGGGUUUUUCUCCCUGAGCUGCAGGAGAAGCUGCUUUCCACUUCUUGGGACAGGUCAGGAAGCAGAGGCGCCCUUUAGAAAGCAGUGAGGUGGAAGCUUGGUGGGCAGGUGUCAGGACCUGGCUGCCCAACUGAGAAGCAGGAAGGGACCUGCGGAGGGGCCUCUCUCAAGCAAGAGUGGUCCCUUCCUUCUUGUGUUAGUUGGGUCCCUUUGGACAGGUAGAUGCCUGCCCAGGACCCCCUGGUAAUUGUAUCCAGCUCUCCCCUGGGAACCACCAUGUUAUGACUUGAAGUCCUCAAAGAUCAGCUGAAAUUGCCACCAUCCCCUUCGCCCCGCUUGCAGAGGGUCUGGCCAGCCCACUGAUCACCAGGGAUUAGCCUGGGCAAAUGCAGGAGCCAGGCUAGGUCAACCAACAAGAGCCUUGGACCUGUGCUCUAAGCAGCAGGAAGGAGACUUUUCCUUUUGCUGGGGUGGCUAUGCUGGCCGACGGGAGCCUUGGUGGACAUCUCUCCACCACAUGGGGAAAGCCUGCCUGAGAACCAACCCAAAAGAUGGUUGCAGAACAGGGAGAAGGAAAGGGAUGUGUUUCUGACAUCCAGUUCAGGCCUGCAGAGCCAGCCGUACCUAAAGUUGGGCCCUCUCCAGGACUUGUUUUAGGGGCUGAUAAUCCACCUCCCUUCCUUAAACUAGUUGCACUUGGGUUUCUGUUUCUUGCAAACCAAGUAGUCCUCUGUGCUUCUUCCCAGCACUAAGACGCCCCACCCCCACCCCUCCAGGGGCUUUCCGAGAGACCCGAGACCCGGAUAUUGGGGUUGGCUGGCAAUUGCACUGCACCUGUGUCUGCCCCAACCCUCCACACCUGGGGAGGAAGCAGACACCAAGCCCCCAGUUCUGAGGCCCCAAGGAGGGCUCGGCUUUUUGAAGCGCUGCAUGCUCUGUUCAGUCCCAGGGCUGUAACGGAGAUGGCAACCCAACCCAACCCAACCCAACCCAGGGAGCCAGGGCAUCCUGGCGUGGCUGGGCCCUGUGUGUCUGGCCACUGCUCUCUGUCUCAAGUGACAGGGUGAGGUCAUCCCUUCUCCCUGUUCCAGAUCCUAAUUAGGCCUCUCUCUCCUUUUUAAUAGGGGCAGAGGGCUGCCCAACAGACAGAUUCUGGUUUAGGAGCCUAGAAAGGGUAGGCUGUGGGCUGGAGAGCGGCUGGUGCACAGCCCCGUGGACCCUUCACCCCCACCCCCAUGGUGAAUCUAGGCCUGGGUGACAACAGGGUGCCCAGAGCAGGGAUGAAGGGUCUGGGCCUGGAGGACGGAGGGCCUUGCGAAGAGCAGAUGGGGGAUAGAACGGGUGGUACCUCUGCCUGGGAAGAGGGGGAGCAGAUCACUUGUGCCAUGCUGUCCCAUGGAGCUGAGCAGCAAUAAUAGCAGUUGUGACAUUGAUUGAGCAGUUGCUCUACGCUGAACUUUCUAUCAUUGAAUCCUUAUGACCAUUUAUGAGGUGGGUUCUACAGCCCUCACUUUACAGUCACGCUGAGGCUUUCAUAAGGUGUCCACAGUCACACAGCUAGCAGAAGGGGAGCCGGCCAGGGGGCCUCCAUGGGUCUGGAGGAAGUGGUGGAGGGGAGGGGGGAGGACAGAUGUGGGAGGCAGGCAGAAGGAGGCAUCAGCAGGAGCAGAGGGAGGCUGGGGGCCGUCCAGGAGGAAGAGGUGACAGGACUUGAGAGGCUUUGUUGGAAGGGAGGACAGCUGGGUGACAGGAUCAGCAGGGCCUGGAGAGGGAGGCUUGUGUACAGGCUGGUGAAGCUCCUGGGAUGGGGAAUGGAGAGGGCGGGGAAUCUCCCUCACUCUGUGUGGAAAUGAGAACAGGGAGAAACUGAGGAGUCCUCAGGGAAGAGCUUCUCCAGGAGGGCUUGCACAGGAUACGGGGAGAGGGCGAGGGGGAGACGGCAGGGACUAAGGUGGAGGCACUGGAAGGGCUGAUGGGGCAGGAGGGAGGGGAGGAGAAGGGGGGCAGCCGAGGGUAGUGGGGGCAGACCAGGCUUUGACACAGGAGUGGCCAAGGCUGGGGCUGCAGAAAGGUCAGGAGAGGGCACCCCCGGUGGCGCAGCGGUUUAGCACUGCCUACAGCCUGGGGCGUGAUCCUGGAGACCCCGGAUCGAGUCCCGCGUCGGGCUCCCUGCAUGGAGCCUGCUUCUCCCUCUGCCUCUCUCUCUGUCUCUAUGAAUAAAUAAAUAAUCUUAAAAAAAAAAAAGAAAGGUCAGGAGAGAUGAAGGCGAGGAUAUACUACUAUGUGCUGGGUCAUGGUGUUUGACUGUGGUGAGAGAGAGAGGCUUGUUCUUUUCUGAAUGUGAAAUCUUAUUUCUGAUUGUAAUAGUAAAGCAUGAAAAAUACAAUUAAAUAGGGGUAGGAAUAGUAAAAGGUGUAAGACUUCCCAUGAUCCCAAACCCACACACUACUACUAUUACUAGCCUUAAAGUUUCCUUCAGAUUUUUGGAAUACGAACCAAAACACACAUACCUAUGUCAGAGGAUUCCCAUUGCUCCCCAUCUUUGCCAAAACUAAAUAUUACCUGUCUUUUUCAUUUUAGCCAUUCAGGUGUGUGUGCACCUGCUCUCAUUGUAGUCUUAAUUUCUGUUUCCUUGAUGAAAAAUGGGAUUGAGCGUGUUUUCACGUGUAUUGACCUUUAAGAUAUCCUGUUCUGUGAAGGGCCAGUUCAGAUUUUUGUUUUUCUAUUGGUUUGUUUGACUUCUUGUUAAUGAUUUGUAGGUGGUCUUUAUAUGAUCCGAAUAGAACCCCUCUCUUGGUUAUAAGUAUUGUGAGUAUCUUCCACUCCAUGGAUCUUUUCACUGUUGUUAAUGGUAUCUUCUGAUAAACAGAGGCUGCCAAUUUGAAUGUUAUUCAAAUAAAGUUUUUCCAUUAUAACUGACUUUUUUUUUUUUUUUGGUGUUGUAUUUAAGAAAUCUUUGCCCACUAAGAUUUCUUUUUAAGAUUUUUUGCUGAUAAAAAAAAGAUUUUUGCUGAUAGUCUUCUAUGUUUUCUUCUUUUUUUUUUAUGUUUUCUUCUAAGCUUAAUUGUUUUACAUCCCAGAUUCUACGAAGAUUUUACUAAGUAAAACCUUUUUUUAAAAAUUUUUAUUUAUUUAUGAUAGUCACACACACACACACACACACACACACACACACACAGAGAUGCAGAGAAACAGGCAGAGGGAGAAGCAGGCUCCAUGCACCGGGAGCCCAACGUGGGAUUCAAUCCUAGGUCUCCAGGAUCGCGCCCUGGG